AUUGAACGCUGGCGGCAUGCUUUACACAUGCAAGUCGAACGGUAGCAGGCCGCAAGGUGCUGACGAGUGGCGAACGGGUGAGUAAUGCAUCGGAACGUGCCCAAUCGUGGGGGAUAACGCAGCGAAAGCUGCACUAAUACCGCAUACGAUCUGUGGAUGAAAGCGGGGGACCUUCGGGCCUCGCGCGAUUGGAGCGGCCGAUGUCAGAUUAGGUAGUUGGUGGGGUAAAGGCUCACCAAGCCGACGAUCUGUAGCUGGUCUGAGAGGACGACCAGCCACACAGGGACUGAGACACGGCCCAGACUCCUACGGGAGGCAGCAGUGGGGAAUUUUGGACAAUGGGGGCAACCCUGAUCCAGCAAUGCCGCGUGCAGGAAGAAGGCCUUCGGGUUGUAAACUGCUCUUGUACGGAACGAAAAGGCUCUGGUUAAUACCUGGGGCUCAUGACGGUACCGUAAGAAUAAGCACCGGCUAACUACGUGCCAGCAGCCGCAGUAAUAC
rnacentral:rRNA from 1 species